GGGUUUGCUUUGGCAGCUCAUAUGCUAAAAUUAGAAUGGCGCAAAGAUUAGCAUGGGCCCUGUGCAAGGAUGACAUGAAAAUUUGGAAGCAUUCCAUAUUAGA
ensembl:snRNA U6 U6 spliceosomal RNA